UGGGGAAUUUUGGACAAUGGGCGCAAGCCUGAUCCAGCAAUGCCGCGUGCAGGAUGAAGGCCUUCGGGUUGUAAACUGCUUUUGUACGGAGCGUAAAGGUCUGCCCUAAUACGGUGGGCUCAUGACGGUACCGUAAGAAUAAGCACCGGCUAACUACGUGCCAGCAGCCGCGGUAAUACGUAGGGUGCGAGCGUUAAUCGGAAUUACUGGGCGUAAAGCGUGCGCAGGCGGUUAUAUAAGACAGAGGUGAAAUCCCCGGGCUCAACCUGGGAACUGCCUUUGUGACUGCAUAGCUAGAGUACGGUAGAGGGGGAUGGAAUUCCGCGUGUAGCAGUGAAAUGCGUAGAUAUGCGGAGGAACACCGAUGGCGAAGGCAAUCCCCUGGACCUGUACUGACGCUCAUGCACGAAAGCGUGGGGAGCAAACA
rnacentral:rRNA from 1 species